CGCCUUAUACUCCUACGGGAGGCAGCAGUGGGGAAUUUUGGACAAUGGGCGCAAGCCUGAUCCAGCAAUGCCGCGUGCAGGAAGAAGGCCUUCGGGUUGUAAACUGCUUUUGUGCGGAACGAAACGGUCUGGGUUAAUACCCUGGGCUAAUGACGGUACCGUAAGAAUAAGCACCGGCUAACUACGUGCCAGCAGCCGCGGUAAUACGUAGGGUGCAAGCGUUAAUCGGAAUUACUGGGCGUAAAGCGUGCGCAGGCGGUUUUGUAAGACAGUCGUGAAAUCCCCGGGCUCAACCUGGGAAUGGCGAUUGUGACUGCAAAGCUGGAGUGCGGCAGAGGGGGAUGGAAUUCCGCGUGUAGCAGUGAAAUGCGUAGAUAUGCGGAGGAACACCGAUGGCGAAGGCAAUCCCCUGGGCCUGCACUGACGCUCAUGCACGAAAGCGUGGGGAGCAAACAGGAUUAGAUACCCUAGUAGUCCACGUACCA
rnacentral:rRNA from 1 species